rnacentral:rRNA from 1 species
CGGAGGGUGCAAGCGUUAUCCGGAUUCACUGGGUUUAAAGGGUGCGUAGGUGGGCAAGUAAGUCAGUGGUGAAAUCUCCGGGCUUAACCCGGAAACUGCCAUUGAUACUAUUUGUCUUGAAUACUGUGGAGGUCAGCGGAAUAUGUCAUGUAGCGGUGAAAUGCUUAGAUAUGACAUAGAACACCAAUUGCGAAGGCAGCUGGCUACACAAUUAUUGACACUGAGGCACGAAAGCGUGGGGAUCAAACAGGAUUAGAUACCCUGGUAGUCCACGCCCUAAACUAUGGAUACUCGACAUUUGCGAUAAACUGCAAGUGUCUCGAGCGAAAGCAUUAAGUAUCCCACCUGGGAAUACGAUCGCAAGAUUG